UGAUGCCUCUGUCAGCUGGUUUAUUUUUGAGUGAGAGGAAGAAUUCAGUCCCCCAGUGUCCUCCCCGGCUGCAUGUCCAGUUUCUUACUCCUGUGUUAUGGAGCCGUGUUCCCAAUCACUACUCCAAGGUUUCAGUAUCCCGAGUGAAUGACCGACAUGGCUGGCAAGUUCAAUGUAAUGAACCAUUGCAGUUUCUGUCUCUGCACAUCCCUGAAGAGAACAGGUCACUGGAUGUCUUGGAACUGACAGAAAGGAGAGACUUAUUAAAGUUUCAUUACCAUACCCUUAGAUUGUAUUCUGCAAUCUGUGCAUUGGGAAACAACCGGGUUGCUCACUCCCUUUGCUCUCACGUGGAUGAGGCCCAGC